rnacentral:rRNA from 1 species
AAUAUUGGAAAAUGGGCGAAAGCCUGAUCCAGCCAUGCCGCGUGUGUGAAGAAGGUCUUCGGAUUGUAAAGCACUUUAAGAUGAGAGAAAGGGCAGUAAGUUAAUACCUUGCUGCUUUGACGAUAUCGACAGAAUAAGCACCAGCUAACUUCGUGCCAGCAGCCGCGGUAAUACGAAGGGUGCAAGAGUUAAUCGGAAUUACUGGGCGUAAAGCGCGCGUAGGUGGUUUGUUAAGUUGGAAGUGAAAGCCCCGGGCUUAACCUGGAAACUGCUUUCAUAACUGCUGAGCUAGAGUACGGUAGAGGGUAGUGGAAUUUCCUGUGUAGCGGUGAAAUGCGUAGAUAUAGGAAGGAACACCAGUGGCGAAGGCGACUACCUGGACUGAUACUGACACUGAGGUGCGAAAGCGUGGGGAGCAAAC